rnacentral:rRNA from 1 species
AUUGAACGCUGGCGGCAGGCCUAACACAUGCAAGUCGAGCGGAUGAAGGGAGCUUGCUCCUGGAUUCAGCGGCGGACGGGUGAGUAAUGCCUAGGAAUCUGCCUGGUAGUGGGGGAUAACGUCCGGAAACGGGCGCUAAUACCGCAUACGUCCUGAGGGAGAAAGUGGGGGAUCUUCGGACCUCACGCUAUCAGAUGAGCCUAGGUCGGAUUAGCUAGUUGGUGGGGUAAAGGCCUACCAAGGCGACGAUCCGUAACUGGUCUGAGAGGAUGAUCAGUCACAUUGGAACUGAGACACGGUCCAGACUCCUACGGGAGGCAGCAGUGGGGAAUAUUGGACAAUGGGCGAAAGCCUGAUCCAGCCAGGCCGCGUGUGUGAAGAAGGUCUUCGGAUGGUAAAGCACUUUAAGUUGGGAGGAAGGGCAGUAAGUUAAUACCUUGCUGUUUUGACGUUACCAACAGAAGAAGCACCGGCUAACUUCGUG